GAUGAAGAACGUAGUGAAAUGCGAUACUUGGUGUGAAUUGCAGAAUCCCGUGAACCAUCGAGUCUUUGAACGCAAGUUGCGCCCGAAGCCACUAGGCCGAGGGCACGCCUGCCUGGGCGUCACACGCCGUUGCCCCCCCAUCUACUCCUUCGGGAUUGCGGGGGGGCGGAUGAUGGCCUCCCGUGCGCCUAGCCGCGCGGUUGGCAUAAAUACCAAGUCCUCGGCGACGCUCGCCACGACAAUCGGUGGUUGCGAAACCUCGGUUGCCCGUCGUGUGCGUUCGUCGCGCAUCGAGGGCUCGAAAAAAUGCUCGGCUCCGGCUGGGCUUUCAACGCGACCCCAGGUCAGGCGGGGUUACCCGCUGAAUUUAAGCAUAUCAAUAAGCGGAGGA
rnacentral:misc_RNA from 1 species